rnacentral:rRNA from 1 species
UACGGGGGGGGCAAGCGUUGUUCGGAAUUACUGGGCGUAAAGGGCUCGUAGGUGGCCAACUAAGUCAGACGUGAAAUCCCUCGGCUUAACCGGGGAACUGCGUCUGAUACUGGAUGGCUAGAGUUUGGGAGAGGGAUGCGGAAUUCCAGGUGUAGCGGUGAAAUGCGUAGAUAUCUGGAGGAACACCGGUGGCGAAGGCGGCAUCCUGGACCAACACUGACGCUGAGGAGCGAAAGCCAAGGGAGCAAACGGG